CCUUCUACCAUUUUCUUCACACCAUUCUUCUCUCCAUCUCUCUAAUUCUCUCAAUCUCUCUAAAUCAAGAAUUCUAAAAGUACACUAAGUGUUCUAACCAUUCUUCUCUCAACCUCUUUACUUCUCUCAAAUCGUCAAAGCAAGGAAGAGAACUCUAAGAGUUCUAAAAGAAAACACUAAGUGUUUUAUAGGAAGCUUUGAAGCUCCAAUCUCUAACUCUUCACGGAAUCACCAAAGGAAACUUUGCAAAACUGUUUUGAGAUGAUGUUGAUGAUGCAUGGGACAUAGUAUGAUGCUUAGAUACACAUUUAAAAUUUUGUAUUCUUAUUGUAUUGUCAUUCUUGUAUUUCAAGUUGUUGUAUUUGAUUCCAACCUUUGUAAUUGACUUUUAGAAAUGAAAUGAAAUUCAUUAUUUAA